CUGGCGGCAUGCCUUACACAUGCAAGUCGAACGCGAAAGCGGGCAACCGCAAGUAGAGUGGCGAACGGGUGAGUAAUACAUCGGAACGUACCCAGUAGCGGGGGAUAACCUGUCGAAAGAUAGGCUAAUACCGCAUACGACCUACGGGUGAAAGCGGGGGACCACAAGACCUCGCACUAUUGGAGCGGCCGAUGUCGGAUUAGCUAGUUGGCGGGGUAACGGCCCACCAAGGCGACGAUCCGUAGCUGGUCUGAGAGGACGACCAGCCACACUGGAACUGAGACACGGUCCAGACUCCUACGGGAGGCAGCAGUGGGGAAUUUUGGACAAUGGGGGAAACCCUGAUCCAGCCAUGCCGCGUGGGUGAAGAAGGCCUUCGGGUUGUAAGCCCUUUCGGCGGAGACGAAAAGGUCCGUGCCAACACCACGGACUAAUGACGGUACCCACAGAAGAAGCACCGGCUAACUACGUGCCAGCAGCCGCGGUAAUACGUAGGGUGCAGGCGUUAAUCGGAAUUACUGGGCGUUAAGCGUGCGCAGGCGGUUUGCUAAGACAGGUGUGAAAUCCCCGGGCUUAACCUGGGAACUGCGCUUGUAACUGGCAAGCUAGAGUGUGGCAGAGGGGGGUGGAAUUCCACGUGUAGCAGUGAAAUGCGUAGAUAUGUGGAGGAACACCGAUGGCGAAGGCAGCCCCCUGGGCUAACACUGACGCUCAUGCACGAAAGCGUGGGGAGCAAACAGGAUUAGAUACCCUGGUAGUCCACGCCCUAAACUAUGUCAACUGGUUGUCGGGGAAGCAAUUCCUUGGUAACGAAGCUAACGCGUGAAGUUGACCGCCUGGGGAGUACGGCCGCAAGGUUAAAACUCAAAGGAAUUGACGGGGACCCGCACAAGCGGUGGAUUAUGUGGAUUAAUUCGAUGCAACGCGAAAAACCUUACCUACCCUUGACAUGUACGGAAUCUCGCAGAGAUGUGAGAGUGCUCGAAAGAGAACCGUAACACAGGUGCUGCAUGGCUGUCGUCAGCUCGUGUCGUGAGAUGUUGGGUUAAGUCCCGCAACGAGCGCAACCCUUGCCAUUAGUUGCCACAUUAAGUUGGGCACUCUAAUGGGACUGCCGGUGACAAACCGGAGGAAGGUGGGGAUGACGUCAAGUCCUCAUGGCCCUUAUGGGUAGGGCUUCACACGUAAUACAAUGGCAGGUACAGAGGGCAGCCAACCCGCGAGGGGGAGCUAAUCCCAGAAAGCCUGUCGUAGUCCGGAUUGUAGUCUGCAACUCGACUACAUGAAGCCGGAAUCGCUAGUAAUCGCGGAUCAGCAUGUCGCGGUGAAUACGUUCCCGGGUCUUGUACACACCGCCCGUCACACCAUGGGAGUGGGUUCCACCAGAAGUAGUUAGCCUAACCGCAAGGUGGGCGAUUACCA
rnacentral:rRNA from 1 species